UGCAGUCUUGUCAAAUUCAGUGUUUCCUUGACAAUGGACCGCCUUGACCAAAAUGGCAGCCACUGUGAACCUGUUGUCCAUGGGCCCUGGAUCCCUUUUCCAUGGAUUCUGGGGAUAAAUGUGUACUACACAUUG
rnacentral:snoRNA from 1 species